AUUUGUGUAUUGCACCGGAGACUGAAAGAAGGGUGAGGUUUUGGGGGCUCUGAUGUGCAAGUGUUGCCACCUUUAAAUGGCCCCUUACUCUCAUAAUCAGUGCUGAGUAGUGGCAAGGGGGAGAAAAUGGAAAAGUUGGCAUGGGAGAGAAGGCAGAUCCAGAAGAUAGGAUACAGCUCAGCCCUGAGAAUGUGGCCUGAUUUUCUCUUCUGUUAUUACAACUGCUCUUCUGCUUGAGUUUCUUCUACACCUUCAAGAUGGCUGAAGAACAAGACGCUUUCUCUCCAUGUCUAUGCUGUUUCACUGUGAGUAAAGCAAGUGUACAUCUGCUUUCAUUUCUUUUUUUCAAAAAUGUUAUUACUACUAGUGAGUGUGGGGAAAGAGGGCAUACUGCAACAUAAAUAGGAGGGAAACUGCAAGUAAUAAAAAUUGUUUAAAAUUACAA
rnacentral:lncRNA from 1 species